rnacentral:tRNA from 1 species
UCCACGGGUAGACCGGGUGGGUCGGCGGGAUCUUCAGCACCCCGCCGCGCAGCGCCGGGUCGAACUCGGGCCCGUUGAUC